rnacentral:rRNA from 1 species
UACGUAGGGUGCAAGCGUUGUCCGGAAUUAUUGGGCGUAAAGAGCUCGUAGGCGGUUUGUCGCGUCGAAUGUGAAAACCCGGGGCUCAACCCCGGGCCUGCAUUCGAUACGGGCAGACUAGAGUUCGGUAGGGGAGUCUGGAAUUCCUGGUGUAGCGGUGAAAUGCGCAGAUAUCAGGAGGAACACCGGUGGCGAAGGCGGGACUCUGGGCCGAUACUGACGUGAGGAGCGAAAGCGUGGGGAGCGAACAGG